rnacentral:rRNA from 1 species
UGAGUAACACGUAUCCAACCUGCCGUCUACUCUUGGCCAGCCUUCUGAAAGGAAGAUUAAUCCAGGAUGGCAUCAUGAGUUCACAUGUCCGCAUGAUUAAAGGUAUUUUCCGGUAGACGAUGGGGAUGCGUUCCAUUAGGCAGUUGGUGAGGUAACGGCUCACCAAACCUUCGAUGGAUAGGGGUUCUGAGAGGAAGGUCCCCCACAUUGGAACUGAGACACGGUCCAA